UUGGUGGUGCUGUGGUUAUGUUUAAUUAUAUACACAUGCGCAAUUAUACAAAAAUCACUUUUUUAAAACUACAACAAAAAAAUUGAUAUCACAAAUAUUGACGAAUGGGAUGUGAAUUGGUUGAGCUGCACUAGAGAAGGCAACGAGUGUGAUAUAUACGUAGUUGACCAUGAAGACUGGAAGAGAAAAAAAUAACUAUAAAGGCACUUUUCCUUUACUGAUAAAAUGAGCCAAAAAAAGACAUUUCACUGAAAAAAAACUAAAUUAUUAGAUCCUCAUGAGAAAUAUUAAAAAUUAGAUCACUACAGUAAUUACAAAGUAAAAACAUGACCACUGGACAGCAAAAUGCUUACUGGGUCAGAAGGGUCAGAAAGAAAAAAAAAACAGGUGGAGAAGAACAGAAACACCUAAACUGCAAAAGAAUUAAAGUGAAGAAUUAGGUGUGACACUAUCAUGGAGCAUUUAGUCUACAGUGCCACCAUUUUCCAGAACUGCAACUUUCCUGGAGUCUCAGAAUUACAAUGUGUCAGGUUCUGAGAGACGUAAAAGAUCCCAAAAAAUGACUUAAUUAGAAUAGCAUGAUGUAUUGUGGAAUACUAUAUAUUAAGACUUUAUAUAUUGGCUUUAUGAACAGAAUAUUUUGAGUGAUUCUUGAAGGACUAGCAUCCCCUCCUCUUGUACGACAAUUUGAGGAAUAUAUCUUCCAGAUAGUACCGUGACUCCCUAUAUGCAGAGUAUGCAGUCUUCAUAGGGCACCAACUUCCAGAGGGGACACCAUCCCAGUUGCUAAAAAAAAAAAAAAAAAAAAAAAACCUGCACCAUUCUCCCAUCUGCGCUCGUGAUCACUCACACCUCAUGUUUGCGGCUGAAUGUUCGUAAUUGACAGAGAAAAGAAAACUAAAGAAAGUAAAAAAAAAAAAAAAAAAAAAAACAGGCAUAAAUUUGGC